rnacentral:rRNA from 1 species
AUGGCCUCCUCUUCUCCCACCGUCACAACGCUUAGGCGAAAUGGCGCAGACAUACUCGUGGAGGCCCUCGAGCGCUGUGGAGUUGGCGACGUGUUCGCGUACCCGGGCGGUGCGUCCAUGGAGAUCCACCAGGAGCUCACGCGCUCGCCCACCAUCCGCACCCACCUGCUCCGCCACGAGCAGGGCGAGGCCUUCGCCGCGUCAGGCUACGCGCGCGCUUCCGGCCGGCCCGGCGUCUGCAUCGCCACCUCCGGCCCCGGUGCCACCAACCUCGUCACCGCGCUCGCCGAUGCGUAUCUCGACUCUUGGCAACACCUGAGCGCGCCACAGGAGGUAGUUAUCAGCAGAGAGCUUCACCGUCACCAGAUGAGCGAAGUGGAACGGUCCUGGUUCAGCCACCGGUGCGGAGAGCUGCGAGUCGAGCAUCGGAGGAGCACUAUACGGAAUCAGCGCAUCGGCCGACGGAGGCGCACGGUAGUGUUGGUGAUGACCAUAGGACACCGUAGGAGGUACGCCGUAGGGCUGCAGCGACGCGACAUACGGCACAGAGGCCGCAUAGGGCGCGCCGUACGGCGCCUCGUAGGGCACCGCAGAGGACGAAGCAUACGGCACUGGCGCGACGUACGGCGAUGGCGACGGCGCGACGUACGGUGCUGGAUACGACCCGCCGUAGGGGACCUGAACGGGAGCACCAGGGGGGCGGAGGCCGGCGCCGCAGCAUGCGCUUGA